rnacentral:rRNA from 1 species
UGAAAAUGGGAGACCUUGAGUGCAGAAGAGGAAAGUUGAAUUCUCAUGUGUAGCGGGGAAAUGCGUAUAGAUAUGGAGGGAACACCAGGUGCGAGGGGGGGUUUUUGGUGUGUUAUGACACUGAGGCGCGAAAGCGUGGAGCAAACAGGAUUAGAUACCCUGGUAGUUCACGCCGUAAACGAUGAGUGCUAAGUGUUAGAGGGUUUCCGCCCCUUAGUGCUGAAGUUAACGCCUUAAGCACUCCGCCUGGGGAGUACGGCGCAAGGCUGAAACUCAAAGGAAUUGACGGGGGGCCCCCACCAGCGGUGGAGCAUGUGGUUUAAUUUGAAGCAACGCGAAGAACCUUACCAGGUCUUGACAUCCUUUGACAACCCCAGAGUAGGGCUUUUCCUUUUGGAGCAGAGUGACAGGUGGUGCAUGGUUGUUGUCAGCUCGUGUCGUGAGAUGUUGGGUUAAGUCCCGCAACGAGCGCAACCCCUGAUUUUAGUUGCCCUCAUUUAGUUGGGCACUCUAAGGUGACUGCCGGUGACAAACCGGAGGAAGGUGGGGGGGACGUCAAAUCAUCAUGCCCCUUAUGACCUGGGCUACACACCUGCUACAAUGGACGGUACAAAGAGCUGCAAGACCCCGAGGGGGAGGUAAUUUCAUAAAACCGUUUUCAGUUCGGAUUGUAGGGUGCAACUUGCCUACAUGAAGCCGGAAUCGCUUGUAAUCGCGGAUCAGCAUGCCGCUGAAUACGUUCCCGGGCCUUGUACACCCCCCCCCUCCCCCCCCCAGAGUUUGUAACCCCCGAAAUCCGUGGGGUAAUUUUUGGAUCCAGCCGCCUAAGGUGGGACAGAUGAUGGGGUGAAGUUCCGUAUGUUGG